CUCCCAGUAAGUUUGCAAAUUUUGGAUCCACCACUUUUGAAUCAUGCUUGGUGUGUGCUGACGGUGCACGAGGAACGUGACGGUUUUUCUCUGAAUCAUGCCAUAGUUCUCUCAAUAUUGUACGUGUUGUUCUCUCAGCAUUGUACGUCUUGUUCUCUGCAUGAUGUGUGGUCGAUGGGCGGAGGCGACGACUGGCGGCUGUUCUAUUUACACCUGACAUGGUUGAGAGGCUAGGGAGCAGGCGAUUUUGCACUCGUAUUUGGUUGGCAAUGGAGAUGAAUUUGUGAGAGAUGUGGCUGGGAGUUGCACCGGUCAUUUUUCUGCCCUCUCUAUGUUAUCCCUUUGCACUAAUCGGUAAUUGCUUUUUGACCAGGGGAUAGGGUAGCGUACGCGAACAGCAAAAUUGUAGAAGACGAGGAGGACAAUCUGAGUGACCAACAUUAUGUGGAGUAUUGAGAUGCAGAUCCAUCUUCACUGACAGCACGCGCUUGUCUGUGACCUCCCACCAGCAACGCCUUGAGGUCACCCACACAAGCGACCAAGCAAUUCCACGCUGUCACCCUCUGCUACUUCGCCAACGACAUCGAGGAGGUCGUGGGUGAGAGCUACUGUCCUCCCUGGAGAACAUGCUCGUGCCCCAUGCGUACGAAGAAGAGCUAAGACACUCGCAUGGGUGCUCAAGGAAAUACACCAGAUUGAGCGAGAGUGUUACGCAAUUUAUGUUACGCAAUGUAUCAACAAGAGCAAAGACUCCAAUCUGAUGAUGUAGGACAGCUUUAAUGUGACAGAGGAUCAUGGUGGUCGAUGGAUUGUGCACCCGGUAGUAGACUAGGAAAGGAACAUUAUUUACGGAACACAAUGAUAUUCAGAGCAGCCCUGCACUAUGUGAGAUUUAGAAGUUGGUACUGCCGGCGGAUGCAUCCAUGUGCUAAUCUCCUGGCACCGCGUAGACGGAGCCAAACGAGUUGGGGCCUCCAGCCGGCUGGUAGUCGACAACAACAUCGGGUUUGUUAAUUAAUCAACAAGUCACAGAUUGUCCUCUUUUUUGAUUGGUCUGGUGUGGAUUAUCAGGCCUGCCGCGCAAUCAUAUAUUUAUCUUUUGAUUUAUGUGGGUGGACAGAAACACCCUUUCUAAAGUUUUCUAGGGAUUGUAAUGAAGCACGGUAACACACUCCAGCAUUCAUUCUUUGCUUGAUAUUAGCAAACAAUGUAAAAUAACCAAGCUCAUAACAUUCUAAAGCGGUCUAUUAGCUACUUCAGCAGACAACAGACAGAAA